rnacentral:lncRNA from 1 species
UAUAGGUGAUAUAGUGAUAUAGGUAAUAAAGGUGAUAUAGGUAAUAUAGAUGAAAUAGGUGAUAAAGAGUUUGGAUGAUAUAGAUGGUAUAGUGAUAUAAAUAAUAAAGAUGAUAUAGGUAAUAUAGGUGAUAUAGGUGAUAAAGAGUUUGGGUGAUAUAGGUUUCGAGUUUUUGUGAAGGUGAUAUAGGUGUUCAAAGUUAACAUGUCAAAUUUGUACCUACUAUCACUCUUUGAAGUAAAACAUAUACAUAUAGAGAGCAAUAAAAAAUCGGCAAUUGGAAUUGGAGAGAAUAUUUUCUUAGCUAUAUUUGACAUAUAUUAUUUGAUGAAUUACAAAUUUGGAUGAAGGAGUUAUAGGGCAUUGAAGACAAGACAUGAAAUUCAAAGGUAGUAAGUGAGUCAUUUUAUUGAUAGUAAUAGUUGGAGCCAUAUCUUGAAUUUCUGAACGAAUUUUUAGCUCAAAUUUUCUAUAAGUAUGAAUUAUUAGGUGAAAAAGCUAUAGAUCAAAGUUUCAUAGUAUUUGAGUACUUGUUUUGUGAGAUAUAAAGAACAUAUCAUGUAGGUGUAUGAAAGCUAGGGUUUAAAUCUACUAUUAGGAUUUGGGUGAUAUCUCAAGAUUUGUAAUGAAUUUGCAAUUGAAUUUUUUUGUGGUAGUUUUU